GCCUUCUCCACAACUCCAAAGCCUUUCCCGGGGGAGGAGGGAAAUGGGAGUCUCAGAAACGUUGAAAUCCGGAGGCAGGUUAUAGAAAUGCCUCCUCCGAGUCAGGCAACAGAUGCAGGAGAUUAACUAGAUGGCGCAUCGUCUUGAAAAAAUUGGCUGCCCAGGUAACAAUCAUCUUAAUAACCGACGCCCUCAUUUCCUUGGUCACUCGCUCCAUUUUUGAUGGCUGAAGUUGCUCUCUGUCUUGACCUGUCCAGUUCGAAUAUGCCUUGAAAACCAGCACGCCAGGUGUGAGACGGAUGAAAACCUGGAAGGCUGGGGGUCUUACCCCAGGGACAGCGCUCUGUAAUCCCCGGGGGUUCAAGAGCUGCGGUUAAGCUCCCGGCCUCCUCUGGUCAAGACAGUUGCUGAAAAUAAGAGGCAUCGUGAUCUUGGGGUGCUCUCAGGCGAGCUGUGUGUGGCUGUGACAUUGUGCUUGGCCUGCCUUGCCAGUUACCUGUUAUCUGGCUUCAAAAAUGUUCUCAUUUUCCCCUACAGUUUUUGCGUCUCCAGCACAGGCGAAGCACUGUAAAAUAUAGAUGGAAGUUUACUAUGUAUCUUGCAAUCAUUUAACUGAAGCUGAAAUGGCAAAGGAGUUUACUGUUAUUUCAAAAGCAAAUCGCUCACCAUGUAAAGAACAAUGAAGGGCAGGUGAGUCCGGCUCCUUUUACAGAUGAGGAAACUGAGGCUUUGGAACUUGUCAGAGGUCAUUCGGCUGGUUUCUCCAGAAGCAGACACAAGGAUUCUAGGGAAACCGGAGGUGAUCCCCAAAACGGAGGAGCUAAUUGAAGAAAACAGCACAAAUGUCUUGGCUUGCAAGAGUUCCUUGGCCUUUUCAAGCAGCAGCUAAACAGGGUUCUCUUCUCAGUGAGUGACUCUAAAUUCUGCCACACGCCAAUGGCAAAUAUUAAGUCACAAAGAAGGAAACUCUCUACAUAAGGGUUUCCACUUUGUAAUUAAAUAAAAUGUGAGGUCAAGUAAGUUUCAAAAAAUUCUUCAGCCCUAGCUGGUUUUUCCCAGUGGGUAGAGCCUCAGCCUGAGGACAGAAGGGUCCCAGGUUCAAUUCCAGUCAAGGGCAC